rnacentral:rRNA from 1 species
ACCACUGGUGGACCAAUUGUCGUGCCAACGGCAGUGUUGGGUAGCUAUGUUCGGACAGGAUAACCGCUGAAGGCAUCUAAGCGGGAAGCCCCCCUCAAAACAAGGUCUCCCUGAGGGCCGUGGAAGACCACCACGUCAAUAGGCCGGAGAUGUAAGCACAGCAAUGUGUUCAGUUGACCGGUACUAAUCGCCCGAUAGGCUUGAUUCGAUCCAGU